rnacentral:tRNA from 1 species
AGGGAUGUAGCUCUGCUGGUAGAGUGCUUGCCUAGAAUGCAUGAGUUCCUGGGUUUGGUCCCCACAACCCUA